ACGAACGCUGGCGGCGUGCUUAAGUCACAUGCAAGUCGAGCGGUAAGGCCCUUUCGGGGGUACACGAGCGGCGAACGGGUGAGUAACACGUGAGUAAUCUGCCCUUCACUUCGGGAUAAGCCUCGGAAACGGGGUCUAAUACCGGAUACGACACUUUUACGCAUGUAAUGGGUGUGGAAAGUUUUUUCGGUGGGGGAUGUGCUCGCGGCCUAUCAGCUUGUUGGUGGGGUAAUGGCCUACCAAGGCUUCGACGGGUAGCCGGCCUGAGAGGGUGACCGGCCACACUGGGACUGAGACACGGCCCAGACUCCUACGGGAGGCAGCAGUGGGGAAUAUUGGACAAUGGGCGGAAGCCUGAUCCAGCAACGCCGCGUGAGGGAUGACGGCCUUCGGGUUGUAAACCUCUUUCAGCGGGGACGAAGCGCAAGUGACGGUACCCGCAGAAGAAGCACCGGCCAACUACGUGCCAGCAGCCGCGGUAAUACGUAGGGUGCGAGCGUUGUCCGGAAUUAUUGGGCGUAAAGGGCUCGUAGGCGGUUUGUCGCGUCGGGAGUGAAAACGCCGGGCUUAACUCGGUGCUUGCUUUCGAUACGGGCAGACUAGAGGCAUGCAGGGGAGAACGGAAUUCCUGGUGUAGCGGUGAAAUGCGCAGAUAUCAGGAGGAACACCGGUGGCGAAGGCGGUUCUCUGGGCAUGUCCUGACGCUGAGCGAGCGAAAGUGUGGGGAGCGAAUCAGGA
rnacentral:rRNA from 1 species